AUUAUUAGGCUGUGAAUUUACAACCAGGAGUAGAGUCAAGGACAAGAUCAAAACAGGCCAGCAAACACAUGGUUAGCAUAUAGGAUUAGUUCUCCAACCAGGAAUUGAACCCAGGCCCCCUGCAUUGGAAACAUGGAGUCUUAACCACUAGACCUCCAGGGAAGUCCCUGGGCCAUGGAUUUUAAGAAAUAAAUGUGGUUUACCAUCCUUUCUUCUCAUCUCUUCUGGCUGGAAACAGAUAAGACCCUAGGGAGCCACAAGAUGGAAGGAAUUGAGUUCCUGAAAUACCAUGUGGAACACAGCUGCCCACUGACCAGAUUCUUCUGCUUCAAACUAUCACAUGAGCAAGGAAUCAUUUUCUGUUGAGUUUGAGCCAAAAUGCAUAUUGACGUCUGCCUGUUACAGUAGCCAGCCCAUCCAAAUUAAUUGACUGCUUCUUGAUCUUACGAUGUAUUUAACCUUUAGCAUGGCUGACAAACUCCCGUGGAUGUAGCUCUUUCAGUCUCGUCGCAGUAGGUGAAGCCUCAGGCUCUGGAGCUGGUCUACAUGGUUCAUGUUUGAGCUCGCAAACCAGCUUUGUGACUUUGGAUAAAGUACUUGAGUUCUCUGUGUCUGUUUCUCUUCCUCCAGAAGAAGAGAAUUUUGUUAAGAACUCCGAACAGUCUGGGAAUUUACCCUACUCACCAGCCAGCUUGCCUCUCUUCCAUGGAUGCUGGCAGAAGACACAAGACUCUCAGGUCAGAGGAAAAGGGUGCUAUCAUUCCCAGCACAGCAGAUGACAUGAACUUCAUGUUUGAAUUGGUUCCCCUUAUCCUGCAAGAUCCCCAGGGUGAGGCGAUGCAAAGCCAGGUAGAUGCUGCACACGUGGGGCAUUUGCAUCACAGCUGAAAACCCUGAGCUGAAGAAUCCUAACUCUUGAAAUGGCUGUGAGCAAAUCUGCCAAAACUUUGGUCUGGCAGG
ensembl:lncRNA